GGAUCCGCUUUGCUGAUCCUUAAUGUGAUAAGAUGUUUCUACAUUUUGGAUUUAGUACUGUCCCUUGGAUGCCUGCUUCUAACCGGUCUUAUGGACAAAUGAUGGUGCUCUGGUCACUGCCAAUCUACAUUGGUGGGAGGCUGGACCCACAGAAAAAAAACCUUGACCUCAAAUCGGGUGAGACUACCCGCUGAACUUAA
rnacentral:misc_RNA from 1 species